ACGUGGGGAAAAAAGUAGCGGCUUAUAGUCCGAAAAAUACGGUAUUUCUUUUGUCUUUAACUGUAUAUUAUAAAUGUAUUAUUUUUUUUAAAAGCUUGAUUAUCAAAAAUUUUUGCAGAACCUUCAAUUCAUUUGUAAGUCUAAUAAGAAUCUUACUUGAAAGUAUAAUCCAUAUAUACUGUACAGUUGCAGUCCAAUUAUACAAUCUGAAGCAGAUAAAUUGUUUAUUCUUAUUUAGGGUCUCCUUAUACCUUAUAGGUAAAUUUACAGAAGCACAGAUCUUAUAAGACUUGAAUGUUUUCCUAACUGAAUUUUCAUAAAGCAAUUUACAAAUAAAUUAAUUCAUAUCCAGCUUGAUAAAUUAAGCCCAGUGUCAGUAUAGUGCAUUCUGAUUUGAACUGUUGCCAGGAUUCAAGUUUAAAACCUCUGUAAUUUGUACUGUUUAAACCUCAGACUCUGUAGCGUGUCCUCAUGACAGCGAAAGUAAUAUUUGUUGUUUAUGCACAUAUGCAGCAUUGCAGUUACCGGCAGGCCGAGCCUGCCAUCUGAGCGUCCGGCAUAAUGCCAAGAAUGAACUCAUACACAGGAAGCCAAACAUCACACCUGGCAGUAAAAGCUUUCAUGUUGUAACCGGUGAUGGAAGAGCAAGCAGCGUCCUCGCUAUCCUCUACUGUCCAGCAGUGGUCUCUCUGGGUCAUUAUUUAUUUUUUUUGGUUCCUCCGAUCUCUGUUCUCUCUGAAAGCUCAGUCAUUGUGAAUCCUUUGUGUGGGGAGUUCAAUUCAAUGGCGCCUUGGAUUCUUGUGCACAAGACACACUGCAAUGGAGCACAGACAAAAGAUGAUGAUUAGAAAAGUACGGACAAGGACAUAAAGAAGGAAAUCUCAUGAAAUAUAGCAAUUUCGAGUUACAGAUAUAUCUAUGCAAUUGAUAAAAAAAAAUAUCAUAUACAGACUACAAUUGCUGACAUUGUUUAGUAUAGGAGACCUACAUUCAGUAAGCCUUUCAUGGCUAAUAAUAAAAAAAGAUUUUUUAAAAAAUGA